rnacentral:rRNA from 1 species
AUUGAACGCUGGCGGCAGGCCUAACACAUGCAAGUCGAGCGAGAGGCGGACGGGUGAGUAAUGUAUGGGGACCUGCCUGAUAGAGGGAGAUAACUACUGGAAACGGUAGCUAAUACCGCAUACCAUCGGAUGAACACAUAUGGGAUUAGCUAGUAGGGGGGGGAAAGGCUCACUUAGGCGACGAUCUCUAGCUGUUCUGAGAGGCUGAUCAGCCACACGGGGACUGAGACACGGUCCAGACUCCUACGGGAGGCAGCGGUGGGGAAUAUUUCACAAUGGGCGCAAGCCGGAUGCAGCCAUGCCGCGUGUGUGAAGAAGGCCUUAGGGUUGUAAAGUACUUUCAGCGGAGAGGCGUUACCCGCCGAAGAAGCCCCGGCUAACUCCGUGCCAGCAGCCGCGGUAAUUG